AAACAAACAAAAUGAAUUUGAGAGGUUAUAAGUGUUUGCAAGUGUCACCGUGGAGACCAGAGAAUGGAUUGUCACCAUGGAGACUUGCAUAAACACUGCCUGUAAUGAUUUCCAUGGGGAAUGAGAUAUAGAAGAGAUUUGGGAAGGAGGAUAUAUAAAUGGAGCUGGCACUCUGUGUACAUAGUCCAAGAGAUUUAACUUCAAGAAAAAAUUAUGUUCAAGUCAGGAGAAAAUAGCUGAUUGAGAAACAUUGACGAUAAAUUCCCAAUACUACUAAGGAAAAUGUCACUACAAAGUGAAGCAAACCUGGCUGAGAGUCUCAAGAUGGCAGACAGGACAGUGAUGGGGUCCUCAACAGCUCCAGCAGCAGUGGGGAUAAAGAGGACAUACAACGUGAAGGCUGAUUGGAGGAGGUUUCCAACUCACUCAAGUCAAACAUCAGGAGAGGAAGCAGCCCCUGAGCUCCCUUCCUCCCCAGCCAGCCCACCCUUGCAUCAGAGCCAGAAGUCCCAUAGUGCUGCCGGAAUAUCUUUGCCAGCCCUUACCCUUAUCCCACGGUCAUGUAGUGGUGGAUUUAUUUGUCUUUCCCCCUAGACCGUGAGGUCCUUGGUACCUCCACAGUCUGACACAUUGCAGUCAUCCUGUUACUGAGUAAAGGAAUGAGGUACUUAAAAUAUGUACAAAUAAAAAUGUAGCACAAGUUGCCA
rnacentral:lncRNA from 1 species